GCUAAGUGAAACUCUCUCACCCAGAAAGCCUCCGCUUCCCAAGUUCAAACAGGCUCACCACGCUCCACCAGGAGUGAGUUUGCCAGAGCAGCUCUGGCCCAAGCCAACCAGUACAGCUUCCUGAGAUCUUUGCAGUCCCACUGGUCAGGAGGCAGGGCUGGAAGUGGGGAGAACACUUGCCGCAGGAUGAGCAGUAAUGACCCAGAAAAUCCUCUCCAUGUGUCACUUGGAGUCGAACACAGUUCUCUAGGAGUGGUCUGGCCACAGAGGAAGAUACGGAGGAAACUGGUGCAUCAGCUUUGGUGUCAGACGUGUUAACUCUGCCUGUGUUCUUUGUUCCUUG
rnacentral:lncRNA from 1 species